UACGUAGGGUGCAAGCGUUGUCCGGAAUUAUUGGGCGUAAAGAGCUUGUAGGCGGUUUGUCGCGUCUGCUGUGAAAUUUCGGGGCUCAACCCCGAACUUGCAGUGGGUACGGGCAGACUAGAGUGUGGUAGGGGAGACUGGAAUUCCUGGUGUAGCGGUGAAAUGCGCAGAUAUCAGGAGGAACACCGAUGGUGAAGGCAG
rnacentral:rRNA from 1 species